GAACGAAUACCGACAUAACGUAUUAUAUACCUGUGGUCAUUUGUUUCUCCGACAUCGAUUUCUUAAAAGUAUAAUAUAAAUGGAGGAGAAACCAAAACCACUCAAACCGACUGACCCAGAUGUCACAGCGACCCUCCCAGGCUAUUAUCCCGACCCUCCUCCUUAUCAGCCCUAUCCCCCGACCCUGGGGACGGGACCAUAUUUUAUACAGGUACCCGGGCAACACCGUCUCCAAGACAUCCGCUGUCCUCCUGGUGCCCAUGUAAUACAAAUACAGGGACCGGUAGUGACAGGACGGGCGCCGAUUUCUAUAAAACCCCGACCUCACGUUAUAUUCUGCAUCUUUCUGUGGGUGCUGCUUGUUUUAUUUUUCUGCGUUGUGCCUGCCAUUGUCGGGAUCAUUUUCGCUGUAUUGUAAAUAUGUAAAUAUUUUGGUUAAUGAAUUAAGCUGUAACAUUGAUGGUCACUCGUUUCAUUUGCCACCUUGCUUUUUACAAAUAUAUUUCAAUGUCUCAUUUUCCGUUUUCCUUUCAUUAUUUUCCCGUGACGUCGGCAAGUCUUUUCAUAUUGCAAUGAUUGAAAAAUGAUGGCGGGGUAACGAGUUUCACUCUGCGUCCGUCCAGUCAUGAGGUGGCAUAAACAGCGGUUCAAAAUAAAGGCUGUGAAUACGAGUAAAACACAAGGAAUUUAAUUGUUAACAUGAUGUCGAUGGUACAAGUUUGAAAAUUUGUUAAAUUGGAUUGUUCAUUCAAGUGCAUUCAACAAAUACAUGUCAUACAUUGUGCAGUAUUUUACUAUCAUUGGAAAGAGUUGACUAUGGUUUGUUUUUUUCUGAUCCGGAUGCAUAUUUAGCGUUGAUGACCAAGAUGUUUGCUUUCUAGUAUUAACUUUGUUCACAAAUACCUAUUUUUAUAAUAUACAUGAAAUAAAGUCUUGAAUUUUAUAAAGUAUUGUCAUAUAAUAAGCAUGUCUCAUGAACAUGCAUCCUUGAGCUUACAUUGUGUGCAAUAAAUGCUGUUAUUGGAAAAAUAAUUGUAUUGUAACUAUACUUUAUCUUAUGGAAGAAAAAUUAGAAUGUUAAUUUUCUAAGCACACAUUUGAGGUUACAAAGCGAAUUAUCCCGUUAAAAUUUCAGAUUUGAGUUGUUAACUGUUACGUCAUUAACAUUGACUUAGAAUUUGACAUGCUAAUCAAAGGACCAUGCUUUUGUGUUAGCACAAUCACCUUCGAUAUAAUGCCCCUCGUUUCAUUGUCCACCUCGCUUAUGGUCAAUAUAUUUCAAGGUUCACUUCUUUUUUCCUAUCAAUUCCUCGAUAUGUCAUCCGAUCGGAUAAUCUGGAACUAAAUACCAAAAUAAUGCUUACAAACGAUGGCGAUAUAACGAGGUUUUACUGUCAUUGGUAAGUCUCCAGAUUUUUUUUUAUUACUUCUAUAAAUAA